rnacentral:lncRNA from 1 species
CAGAGGAUUUCGGAGGAACUGAGCCCCAAUCGGAACUACAUGAGUCAGGGUCUCCGGACUGAUGAUAUGUGACUCUCGUGCGCUGCAAUUCAUGUGAACCCUUCCUUGGACGGCCAUGAUCUUCCAAUCAUCAGCUCCCUCUUCAUACACAAUAUGGAUGGUAGAAAUCUGCCGACUACGCCAUCGGUGUCGCCAUGUGCUUUCCCGCCAAAAUCAUCCGCGUCGCUUCCCAUUUCCCGCCAA